UACGUAGGGUGCAAGCGUUGUCCGGAAUUAUUGGGCGUAAAGAGCUCGUAGGCGGUUUGUCGCGUCUGCCGUGAAAGUCCGGGGCUCAACUCCGGAUCUGCGGUGGGUACGGGCAGACUAGAGUGCGGGUAGGGGAGAUUGGAAUUCCUGGUGUAGCGGUGGAAUGCGCAGAUAUCAGGAGGAACACCGAUGGCGAAGGCAGGUCUCUGGGCCAUUACUGACGCUGAGAAGCGAAAGCAUGGGGAGCGAACAGG
rnacentral:rRNA from 1 species